rnacentral:tRNA from 1 species
UAGAAGAACAGGACUUGAACCUGCACAUAAAGACUCAAAAU